rnacentral:rRNA from 1 species
AAAACCCGGAGGAAGUGGGGAUGACGUCAAGUCCUCAUGGCCCUUAUGUCCAGGGCUACACACGUGCUACAAUGGCCGGUACAAAGGGCAGCAAAGCCGCGAGGUGGAGCCAAUCCCAGAAAGCCGGUCUCAGUUCGGAUUGGAGUCUGCAACUCGACUCCAUGAAGUUGGAAUCGCUAGUAAUCGCGGAUCAGCAUGCCGCGGUGAAUACGUUCCCGGGCCUU